rnacentral:rRNA from 1 species
AAGUCGUAACAAGGUUUCCGUAGGUGAACCUGCGGAAGGAUCAUUACCUAGAGUUGCGGGCUUUGCCUGCUAUCUCUUACCCAUGUCUUUUGAGUACUUACGUUUCCUCGGUGGGUUCGCCCGCCGAUUGGACAAUUUAAACCAUUUGCAGUUGCAAUCGGCGUCUGAAAAACUUAAUAGUUACAACUUUCAACAAUGGAUCUCUUGGCUCUGGCAUCGAUGAAGAACGCAGCGAAAUGCGAUAAGUAGUGUGAAUUGCAGAAUUCCGUGAAUCAUCGAAUCUUUGAACGCACAUUGCGCCCCUCGGUAUUCCGGGGGGCAUGCCUGUUCGAGCGUCAUUUACACCUUCAAGCUCUGCUUGGUGUUGGGCGUCUGUCCCGCCUUCGUGUGUGGACUCGCCUCAAAGUGAUUGGCGGCUGGUACGAUGGCCUGGAGUGCAGCAGAAUUGCGCUCUUUGUCUUGAGUCUAGCUCCCAGAAACUACUUUUUCACUUUUUGACCUCGAAUCAGGUAGGGAUACCCGCUGAACUUAA